UACAAGUUCAUCAAAAUACAAAAAUAACUAGAAGGUUAUCAUAGAUUUGGGCUGAGAGCAUGGGAAGUUCCAUGAUAACAAUGUCUGAAUCUCAGGGUGUCUUCCACAUCACUUUAGAGGACCACAAAGUGCAUCAUUUCUGCUCUCCACCCUGAACUCCUUCAGCGGGUGAUGGAGAUAGCAGCUCCAGCAGGACAGGAUUUAAUCCUUGAAGAGGUAGAUCGCAAGCACCCACGGCAAGGGCCAGUGUGUAGCUGACAAUGCUCAAGAAGCAAUAACUUAUUCUGUAUUUCUGGCUUUAUACCUGUUCUUUGCAAACCUCUCUUUCAACAGAAUAAAUACUCAUCAUACUUCUUUUUA